rnacentral:rRNA from 1 species
UCUCGCAUCGAUGAAGAACGCAGCGAAAUGCGAUAGGUAAUGUGAAUUGCAGAACUCAGUGAAUCAUCGAAUCUUUGAACGCACAUUGCGCCCUGGGGCAUUCCUCAGGGCAUGCCUGUCCGAGCGUCAGUGCAAACCCGCUCACAGAACAUGUGGUCAUGGCGGAGGUGGAUGGCGCCGGGCUGCCAGCCCGGCCGCCACCCCGCCCAAAUGAAAGGGGAGGAACACGUGCCCACGGACCCGACUUGAUAGACGUUGUAAUUAGCGUAAGGCAGUCGCGCGCCGUCCACGGUCCCGCCCGCCCCGAGAGCCUAGCGGCAUCGAGGCGUCUUCUCUCUGGUUUGACCUCGGAUCAGGUAGGGGUACCCGCUGAACUUAAGCAUAUCAAUAAG